rnacentral:rRNA from 1 species
UACGUAGGGGGCGAGCGUUGUCCGAAGUUACUGGGCGUAAAGCGCGCGUAGGCGGACUCUUAAGUGAGGGGUGAAAGGUUCAGGGCUCAACCCGAACACUGCCUUUCAUACUGGGAGUCUUGAGUGCGGGAGAGGCGAGUGGAAUGGUCGGUGUAGCGGUGAAAAUGCGUAGAGAUCGGAAAGAACACCAACGGCGAAAGCACUCUGCUGGGCCGACACUGACACUGAGACACGAAAGCCAGGGGAGCGAACGGG